rnacentral:rRNA from 1 species
UCAAGCUACUAAGGGCGCACGGGGGAUGCCUUGGCGCCAAGAGCCGAUGAAGGGCGCGGCGAGACUGCGAUAAGCCUCGGUGAGCUGUCGGGCAAGCUGAGCCGGGGAUUCCCGAAUGGGGCAACCCACUCAGGUAAACCCUGAGUACUCCUAGCUGAACACAUAGGCUAGGAGGGGUAAGCGGGGGAACUGAAACAUCUAAGUACCCCGAGGAAAAGAAAUCAGAAGAGAUUCCCUGAGUAGUGGCGAACGAAAGGGGAUCAGCCCAAACCCUGAUGACUUAGUGGGCUCGAGCCUUAUGUCAUCAGGGGGUUGUAAGACAUGACUUGGAAAGGUCUCGAGGCCUUUCCGGGAGUUACAAACCGUAACCCUAGCCGAAGGUCUCUGGAACGAGCCGCCGCAGGGGGUGAAAGUCCCGUAGGCGAAAGGGGAAGGCUCCCGGUCAUGAUCUUGAGUACCACGGGACACGUGAAAUCUUGUGGGAAACUGGGGUGACCACGCUCCAAGGCUAAAUACUCUUGGCGACCGAUAGUGAACAAGUACCGUGAGGGAAAGGUGAAAAGAACCCCGAGAGGGGAGUGAAAAAGACCUGAAACCGUGUGCCUACAAGCAGUCAGAGGUUCGACUCGUUCGGACUAAUGGCGUGCCUAUUGAAGAAUGAGCCGACGAGUUAAUCUAUGUAGCUCGGUUAAGUCGUUUAAGCGACGGAGCCAUAGCGAAAGCGAGUCCGAAUAGGGCGAAGCCGCUUCGGCGGCAGGUUGCAUGGAUUAGACCCGAAGCCGGGUGAGCUAACCAUGGCCAGGGUGAAGGUCGCCUAACCGCGACUGGAGGCCCGAACCCACCAGUGAGGCAAAACUGGGGGAUGAGUUGUGGUUAGAGGUGAAAUGCCAACCGAACCCGGAGAUAGCUGGUUCUCCCCGAAAUGCAUUGAGGUGCAGCCUCGGGUGUUGAGUUGCGCAGGUAGGGCACUGGAUGGGCUAGGGGGCUAAAAGCUUACCAAACUCAACCAAACCACGAAUGGCGUAACUAGAGAGCCCGGGAGUGAGACGGUGGGGGAUAAGCUUCAUCGUCGAGAGGGAAACAGCCCAGACCAUCAGCUAAGGUCCCUAAGUGUAGGCUAAGUGGUAAAGGAUGUAGAAUUGCUCAGACAGCCAGGAUGUUGGCUUAGAGGCAGCCAUCAUUUAAAGAGUGCGUAAUAGCUCACUGGUCGAGUGGUUUUGCGCCGAAAAUGUAGCGGGGCUAAAGUCUACCACCGAAGCUAUGGGUCCGAUUUAUCGGGCGGUAGGGGAGCGUUGCCUCCGCAUCGAAGCUUCGUCGUGAGGCGGGGUGGAGUGGAGGGAAGUGAGAAUGUCGGCAUGAGUAGCGUCAGGCGUGUGAGAAACACGCCCACCGUAUGCCUAAGGUUUCCUACGCAAGGUUAUUCCGCGUAGGGUUAGUCGGGCCUAAGCCGAGGGCGAAAGCCGUAGGCGAUGGACAACUGGUCAAUAUUCCAGUACCGCUCGUUUUUUGUUAAAACUACGGGGGGACACAGGAAGGUAGGUUGAGCGUGCCCAUUGGACAUGGUGCGUCCCUGAUCGUAGGCGAGAGCCGAUAGGCAAAUCCGUCGGCUCGCUAAGCUGAGGAGAGGGGGAAGCUGAGGGGCAACCCGAGGCGAUUCGGCUGAGCCUAUACUGUCUAGAAAAGCCAUCGUAGCUGAAUUACGAGCGUCCGUACCGCAAACCGACUCUGGUAGGCGGGGGUGAGAGCCCUAAGGUGUUCGAGAGAACCCUCGUUAAGGAACUCGGCAAAUUAACUCCGUAACUUCGGGAGAAGGAGUGCCUCGAAGCGUGACGGGACUAGCUCCCCGAGCAGCUUUGAGGCCGCAGAGAACAGGCCCAGGCGACUGUUUAACAAAAACACAGGUCUCUGCUAAGGCGAAAGCCUAUGUAUAGGGGCUGACACCUGCCCAGUGCUGGAAGGUUAAGGGGAUGUGUCAUGGCUCUUCGGAGCCGGCAGCACUGAACUGAAGCCCCAGUGAACGGCGGCCGUAACUAUAACGGUCCUAAGGUAGCGAAAUCCCUUGUCGGGUAAGUUCCGACCCGCACGAAUG